AAGUCGUAACAAGGUUUCCGUAGGUGAACCUGCGGAAGGAUCAUUCAUAAUAAGUGUUUUAUGGCACUUUUUAAAUCCAUAUCCACCUUGUGUGCAAUGUCAGUCGAUCUUCUUCAUGGAGAUCGGCCAAACAUCAACCUUAUUUUUUAACUCUUUGUCUGAAAAAUAUUAUGAAUAAACAAUUCAAAAUACAACUUUCAACAACGGAUCUCUUGGCUCUCGCAUCGAUGAAGAACGCAGCGAAAUGCGAUACGUAAUGUGAAUUGCAGAAUUCAGUGAAUCAUCGAAUCUUUGAACGCAUAUUGCGCUCUUUGGUAUUCCGAAGAGCAUGCUUGUUUGAGUAUCAGUAAACACCUCAAAGCUUUUGGAUUUUUUUUGAAAGCUUUGGACUUGAGCAAUCCCAACGCCAAUCUUUUUCAGAUCGGCGGCGGGUUGCUUGAAAUGCAGGUGCAGCUGGACUUUUAUCUGAGCUAAAAGCAUAUCUAUUUAGUCCUCGUCAAACAGGAUUAUUACUUUUGCUGCAGCUAACAUAAAGGAUAAUUGUCCUCUUUGCUGACUGAUGCAGGAUUUUACGACACUUUAUGUGUUGUUCAACUCGAUCUCAAAUCAAGUAAGACUACCCGCUGAACUUAA
rnacentral:rRNA from 1 species